rnacentral:tRNA from 1 species
GCGAGGGUGCUGGAGUGGUCAAACAGGCAGGACUUAAGAUCCUGUGACUUUAUGUCUACGCAGGUUCGAACCCUGUCCCUCGCA